AUUUCUUUUAGCACCCCGGGAUUAACUACAUCUCACGGCUAUUUGCUACCUAAGAAGCGCCCCCGUAUACUAAAGCAGCCUGCUGAUUGGUUGAAUUUGUGAUGUUUAUUCAUUGCAUUUCUGUCUAAAACAUGUGAUGAUUAUUGCUUUUCCUUCAUACAUUGUAUUACCCCUUUUGCCUGUGACUAUUGUAUAGUUGCUUUUCCUGUGAAUAGUGUAUCGGC